rnacentral:lncRNA from 1 species
GUGGUGGUGGUGGUGCCCCUCCGUAGUUUGCUGGAGGCCUCUGUCCUCCCAUAUUGUUAUGUGGCGGUGGUGGUCCUCCAUAGUUUGGUGGAGGCCUUUGUCCAUAAUUCUGCCCCAUGGGAGGUGGAGGGGGUGCAGAGCCACCCAUGUGAGGUGGAGGAGGGCCACCCAUGGGAGGACGUUGAGGAGGAGGGCCUCCUGCCAUGUUCUCUCUUCUCCUCUCAAAGUUUCUGCUUCUAUCAAAGUUUUUAGGACGGUCAUUGCGCCUGUUUCUUUCAUUGGCUCUAGCGUUGUUCCUUAUCCAUUCCUCG